UACGGGGGGGGCAAGCGUUGUUCGGAAUUACUGGGCGUAAAGGGCUCGUAGGCGGCCAACUAAGUCAGACGUGAAAUCCCUCGGCUUAACCGGGGAACUGCGUCUGAUACUGGAUGACUUGAGUGUGGCAGAGGGGGGUGGAAUUCCACGUGUAGCAGUGAAAUGCUUAGAUAUGCCAUAGAACACCGAUUGCGAAGGCAGCUUGCUGGACCUGUAUUGACGCUGAGGCACGAAAGCGUGGGGAGCAAACAGG
rnacentral:rRNA from 1 species